CGGACGGGUGAGUAAUGUAUAGGAACUUGCCUAGUAGUGGGGGACAACGCGUGGAAACGCACGCUAAUACCGCAUACGCUCUACGGAGGAAAGCGGGGGAUCUUCGGACCUCGUGCUACUAGAUGGGCCUAUAUUGGAUUAGCUAGUUGGUAAGGUAAAGGCUUACCAAGGCGACGAUCCAUAGCUGGUUUGAGAGAAUGAUCAGCCACACUGGGACUGAGGCACGGCCCAG
rnacentral:rRNA from 1 species